rnacentral:precursor_RNA from 1 species
ACCCGAGCGGAUUGAGCAAACUAUUUGUCUGUUAGCAAGUUUGUUCGCCCCGGCUCGAGU